UUUAUGUUCAUGAGUGGCUUCUUGGCCAACCCCGACGGACCCGACCCCAUCAUCAUCAUUACCCACUUUCACGUCCUUAAAAUUAUUCUCUCUUAUCUCUCUCUUUCCCUAAACCCAGAUAAAAAAGAACAAGAUCAUAGAUUAUUCUCUCUUAUUCUACUUUUACUUUUUAAUUCUUUUCAUUUCACUCAAUAACAACAAGAAUCCCUAGAUCUCCUGAUCCAUCUGUAAAAUUAGAAAAUUUCUGAGAUUUGAUCAUAUGGAUCACCUAAAAAUCUAUUCUUUUUGAUCUGCGUUUAAUGCCAAGAUUCAUCAUUUCAUAUGGGAAACUAUGAACCAGUCGCAGAUAACACAUGAGACUGUGUUCUUCCUCAUGAGUCGUUUUGAAUUCCACUUCUAAUGAAAAGAGAAAACGAGAAGAAGAAAAAAGAAAAAUCGAUUUGGGAAUUUUUGUUUUUCAAAUUUUCUUGGUUUAGUUUUGUAAUUGGGUUAAAUUUUGGUAAAAUCCGGUUAAAUGAGUUUAUUA